rnacentral:rRNA from 1 species
AAUCAACGCUGGCGGCGUGCCUCAGACAUGCAAGUCGAACGAUUAAAGCUCUCUUCGGAGAGUGCAUAGAGUGGCGCACGGGUGAGUAACACGUAAGUAAUCUACCUUCGAGUGGGGAAUAACGUCCGGAAACGGACGCUAAUACCGCAUAAUGCAGCGGCAUCGCAAGAUGACAGUUGUUAAAGAUUUAUCGCUUGAAGAGGAGCUUGCGGCAGAUUAGCUAGUUGGUAAGGUAAUGGCUUACCAAGGCUACGAUCUGUAACCGGUCUAAGAGGACGGUCGGUCACACUGACACUGAAUAACGGGUCAGACUCCUACGGGAGGCAGCAGUCGGGAAUUUUGGGCAAUGGGCGAAAGCCUGACCCAGCAACGCCGCGUGAAGGAUGAAGUAUUUCGGUAUGUAAACUUCGAAAGAAUGGGAAGAAUAAAUGACGGUACCAUUUAAUAAGGUCCGGCUAACUACGUGCCAGCAGCCGCAGUAAU